rnacentral:ribozyme from 14 species
AGUUGCCCAUGAUGACAAACAAAACAAUGAAGAUAUUCAAUCUGGUAAUGUGGCCCAAUUGCUGAUGUGCUGGAAGGUGCUGCAUCUUGUUCUUUAAUCUUUUUGUUUUUGCUUUUUGUUUUCUUCUUUUUUGUUGUUGUUGUGAUCUUUAUU